AUACACGCAGCACUCCACUUAUAGUCAUGUCGUUCAACAAGAAAACAGUGCUCUCAGGCUUCACCUUGGCCUUGCUCCUCGUGUCAUGUUGUAAGUUCUUAGGAGAUUAUUUAAUUCAAAAUUUCCAUGGAGUUCUUCUGAAUAAUUUUUUUGCUUCCACAUUUACAAAGAAACUUCUGCAAUUGUAGGUCUGAAGGCAUCAGCAGACCCGUGCCCUAUGGUAGGCACCAUGGACUGCAUUAAGGACUCGGCAUGCAGGAGCUGUUGCAUCAGCAAUGGCUACACCGACGGCCAUUGUAAUAGAAAUGGCAUCUGGUCAUGCGUGUGCACCAAGGAUGGGUCGAUGCCAGGGAAGGAGACUUCGUCAAUAAAGCCAGCCCCACUGGGAUGGCGCGGAAUGGGAACGUUUAACUGAUGUGUGGUGUGGGUUUAAUGUUGUGAUGUCUUUCGAUGGAUCCGCACAAAGUGUAACAACCAAAGUUGCAUGAAGAGAAAUUUAAAGUGAACCGGGUGGACAGGUCUCUGAGUUGUUUGCCAUGGA
rnacentral:lncRNA from 1 species